GACGUAGGGCGCGAGCGUUGUCCGGAUUUAUUGGGCGUAAAGAGCUCGUAGGCGGCUCGUUGCGUCGGCUGUGAAAACCCGCAGCUCAACUGUGGGCUUGCAGCCGAUACGGGCGGGCUAGGAUUCGGUAGGGGAGACUGGAAUUCCUGGUGUAGCGGUGAAAUGCGCAGAUAUCGGGAGGAACACCUAUGGCGAAGGCAGCUCGCUGGGACGUUACUGACGCUGAGACGCGAAAGCGUGGGGAGCAAACAGG
rnacentral:rRNA from 1 species